rnacentral:rRNA from 1 species
CUUAACACAUGCAAGUCGAACGAGACGAUUGAGAGCUUGCUUUUGAGAGUCGAGUGGCAAACGGGUGAGUAACGCGUAGACAACCUGCCGUAAAGAUGGGGACAACAGUUCGAAAGGACUGCUAAUACCGAAUGUUGUAGAGUUUCCGCAUGGGAAUCCUACUAAAGGUGGCCUCUACUUGUAAGCUAUCGCUUUACGAUGGGUCUGCGUCUGAUUAGCUAGUUGGUGGGGUAACGGCCUACCAAGGCGACGAUCAGUAGCCGGUCUGAGAGGAUGAACGGCCACAUUGGAACUGAGACACGGUCCAGACUCCUACGGGAGGCAGCAGUGGGGAAUCUUCCGCAAUGGGCGCAAGCCUGACGGAGCAACGCCGCGUGAGUGAAGAAGGGUUUCGACUCGUAAAACUCUGUUGUCGGGGACGAAUGUGGAGAUGGUGAAUAACCAUUUUCAAUGACGGUACCUGACGAGGAAGCCACGGCUAACUACGUGCCAGCAGCCGCGGUAAUACGUAGGUGGCGAGCGUUGUCCGGAAUUAUUGGGCGUAAAGGGAGCGCAGGCGGAAAGGUAAGUCUAUCUUAAAAGUGCGGGGCUCAACCCCGUGAGGGGAUGGAAACUAUCUUUCUUGAGUGCAGGAGAGGAAAGCGGAAUUCCUAGUGUAGCGGUGAAAUGCGUAGAUAUUAGGAGGAACACCAGUGGCGAAGGCGGCUUUCUGGACUGUAACUGACGCUGAGGCUCGAAAGCGUGGGGAGCGAACAGGAUUAGAUACCCUGGUAGUCCACGCCGUAAACGAUGAAUGCUAGGUGUAGGA